UGAGUGGAUGCUGGUGAUUCUGGUAUGGAGU
rnacentral:piRNA from 2 species